GCCGUGAGGGGAGGAGAAGGAGGAAGGAGAGGAGUGAGGAGGAGGAAGGCUCGAGCUGGGCGUUGCUCUGGCAACGUCGCGGCCUUCGCCCCGCCGCGGGUCGUGAGGAGGCUGAAAACGCUGGCUGGCUGCAUCUCUGUGUCUCUUGGAGGUCACUUGCUGAUUUAUCUCCAAUUCACAGCUCAUUAGAAGGUGUGUAACUCCUCAGAGAUGUUGUUAUUUAACAGGAAGGAGUGACUCCCGUGGUCAUCAGGACCAAGUGGAGAAGCUGUUUCUUGAACCGGGCUGUUUUUAGUGACACGGGAGGAUCUGUUAAAUCCAGUGACUCAGAAAUUAUUCAGAUGUUCAGGAAUUUCGGGAGGUGUGUGUUAAUUGCUGCUGUUAGACCAUUACGGAGGUAUUUAGGUCAAAAGAUGUAAUGAUCAUGACGUGUGUAUUCUCUAAUGGGUGUCCUUAAAGGUGCCAGAAUUUUCAAUAGGAUCUUUGAAGUUUCUCAAAAUUAGGGGUUCUUCUCAUCUCUUUUGCUCAUCUGAACGUGUGAAUCCCCAUGUGAAUGGUUUAACUGAACAGUGAAGUCUCUCGUGUGUAAACAUGAGGGGAUUACCAGGAAGGAGUAGAUGGGUUUGUUAAUUUAUAUUCCAUUUGUAGUACCUGCUAGUAGUUAUAUCUUUAAUUAUUCUGUAUUUUCCUUGUUAAAUCAAAGAACAUCCUGAGUUGGAAGGGACCCACUGGGAUCAUCCAAGUCCCACUCCUGGCCCUGCACAGGACAGCCCUGCCAAUCCCACCAUGUGUGUGAUAAACAGCAAUGCAUUUUAUGUUCCAAACCCAAAUUAAACUUCUAACAUAACUCAUAACAUGGAAUUUGACUUUCUGUUUACCUUUUCAGGGAUCAAAGAGGGGU